UACAGAGGGUGCAAGCGUUAAUCGGAAUUACUGGGCGUAAAGCGUGCGUAGACGGUUACAUAAGUCGGGUGUGAAAGCCCCGGGCUCAACCUGGGAACGGCGCUUGGGACGGCGAGGCUGGAGUUCGGGAGAGGAGAGUGGAAUUCCCAGUGUAGAGGUGAAAUGCGCAGAUAUCGGGAAGAACACCAGUGGCGAAGGCGGCUCACUGGCCCGGUACUGACGCUGAGGCGCGAAAGCGUGGGGAGCAAACAGG
rnacentral:rRNA from 1 species